GCUGCAGGGAAAAAGGGGCAGCUCAAGCAGCAGCUGCUGGGGGUCACCCAUCCUUGGAGGGGGCAGAGAGAUGCCAGCGUCUGUGUUCUGGGCUGCAGCUCAUCUCACAAAAGCCGUACCAGCCAACCUGCAUUAUCUACCCAGGCGACGAUAGGAGGGCGUGGGGGCCUGGGUCAAACACUAAUAAGGAGUGAGGUGCAGAAAUGGGGCCAGUCCGCAGCCAGAGAGCUAAGUUAGCACAACGUCCUCACCCUGCCGACCACUCCUAGCCAGAACCCUCCAGGAUGCCCAAGCCGAGCUCUCUGUUUCCCCUUCCAAAGCCAGGUCCAGCAGGAGACUGGGCUUGGCUCUCUGAUGGAUUCAGGACAGGGGACAAAUCAGCCACAUUCAUGGAGCAGGGACUGUGGGAGAUGAGGAAGGCACAGCCCCUACCUUCAGGAGUUUGUAUUCUCGUUAGCAAGACAAGCUUCCCUCCUGCCAAACAAGCUCAGACUGAACAAAGCAUCAGCCCUGAAUGUGCUGCCGAGAGGGAAUGAGAAAAGGGACAGCAACAUUGGGAUGAGAGGCUUUCGGGAGAGGCCAGAAAACCUGAGAAGGGCCGUUGAGGCCCCUGCUGGGCUGCAGGCUUCUACCCAUGACAGGGCCACUGCCCAACCUGGGCCACCAAAGUAUACAAGGCCACCAUUCCCACCCAGGUCUUCAGAGGCACCUCUGAGUGGCCCCGAGGCAGUGGCAGCAGGCGAGUUCAGCAGGGAACCGAGACCUCUUUGAGACAACGCAGAGAGCCAGCCAGGAGCCCAGGGACAACCCUUGUGGGGGCCGGGCUGCUCAGUGGAUCUGGCUCUGUUUCAUCUUAAUACACUCCUGCAUGUACCUGAUAUCUGAUACUCGUCCUACAGCAUGCAAAUCUAAUAAAUUCUUGGCUCCUGCAAGUUUCUUCAAAAAUAUAAAAGAGGAUCAUAUAUAAAGAAGUUGAUUAAUAUACACCCUGCUAAAACAGCCUGGAACAUCUGUGUAUUAAGUUCAUUUAUUAAAUUACACCAAUCUGUAUUUUAAUGAGUGAAAGAUACAGUACUUAUUCUGUCAUCCAUCAAAAUAAACUCAGGAAAUACUUAACAUUAUAAUCAUUUUUCUUGUUUGAACACGAGUUAUGAAAUAUGAAUCCCACACUAAGAAUGCUGGGCUUGCCGUCAUGAUCAAAUAUGUUUUCACAGGUGCAGCAAAUAUUCAGUUUUCAUUUCUUUCUCCAACUGUUGAAAAUAUAAACCAUGUUUUCUAUUCCUUCACUGGGUAACUCUGCCUUCCCUCCACAUGGCAUCCAUUAUUGCAGACUUAUUACCCCACCGUCUUUUUCCCCCCAAACCCACUCCUCCUAAAGUUGCUUCGUAAUGAAAACACAGGCUUCUGUGGGGCCCCCACAGCACAAGCUCUUCCCCGGGGCGGGGGGGUCUUUGGGCUCAGGCUGGGGCACUGUCCUUUACUUCCAUCCUAAUGGCAGCCACGUCCUCUUGGUUGGAGCCUGAGUUCUGGAAGCUGUUUGAAGCAAACAGUCCAUCUGGUCAAAAACACAAAUGGCAUGGAGCCCUCCAGCCACAGUGAAGCCAACAGUGAAGCUGGAGCGUCUCCAGGUCCACUGGCUGCCUCUCAGAAAUAUCCCACUAAGACGAGGGGGCAACUUUAAUAGGAGCCGAAGCCUCAGGAGUGAGUCCAGAGUUUACCUGCGUUCAGCUAUCCUUGGACCAGAAGUCUCGGGACUCUUGGAAUAAAACUACUCACAAAGCAGCAAGUUUCCAGGAGCUGAGGAAGGCCAGUGCCUGUGCCCAGUGUCAGUGGGAGCUCAUCGUGUCGGAGGAUUCUGGGAAAAGCUCCAGCUAUGUAAUCUGCUGAGCAGGGCCAGCCCUAUAGGAGGCACAUGAACCCAGUCACAAGCUGGCCAGGCUUCUUCCUGUAUAACUCACUCUGUGGCGCCCCAUCACCAGCAGGGAAGUCACACUUCCACCACACGGCUUCUGCCUCUCUUGGAUUUCAUUUCUGGCUGCUCCUACCUGGUCCCCUAACACAUCCACGACUCACACACUUUACCAUUCAGCCCUGCUGAGCUACCACCUGCUGGGGCACAAAUCUUCCAUGUUCUCUCCUACCCCAGGUUUUGCUCUUGCUGUUCCCUCUUCC
rnacentral:lncRNA from 1 species